UACACGAGUGGCGCACGGGUGAGUAACGCGUAUGCAACCUACCUCUAACUGGGGAAUAGCCCUUCGAAAGGAGGAAUAAUACCCCAUAAUAUUUCGAUGAGACAUCUCAUCGUUCUUAAAACUCCGGUGGUUAGGGAUGAGCAUGCGUGACAUUAGUUUGUUGGUGAGGUAACGGCUCACCAAGGCAGCGAUGUCUAGGGGGUCUUAAAGGAUGAUCCCCCACACUGGUACUGAGACACGGACCAGACUCCUACGGGAGGCAGCAGUGAGGAAUAUUGGUCAAUGGGCGCAAGCCUGAACCAGCCAUCCCGCGUGUAGGAUGAAAGCCCUAUGGGUUGUAAACUACUUUUUUAUGGGAAGAAACCCACCGACGUGUCGGAGGCUGACGGUAUCGUAUGAAUAAGCACCGGCUAACUCCGUGCCAGCAGCCGCGGUAAUACGGAGGGUGCAAGCGUUAUCCGGAUUUAUUGGGUUUAAAGGGUCCGUAGGCGGGAUGAUAAGUCAGUGGUGAAAUCCCUCAGCUCAACUGAGGAACUGCCAUUGAAACUGUUAUUCUUGAAUCUAGUUGAAGUGGACGGAAUGUAACAUGUAGCGGUGAAAUGCAUAGAUAUGUUACAGAACACCAAUUGCGUAGGCAGUUCACUAAGCUAGUAUUGACGCUAAGGCACGAAAGCGUGGGUAGCGAACAGGAUUAGAUACCCUGGUAGUCCACGCCGUAAACGAUGAUUACUCGAUGUCGGCGAUAUACUGUCGGUGUCCAAGCGAAAGUGAUAAGUAAUCCACCUGGGGAGUACGAUCGCAAGGUUGAAACUCAAAGGAAUUGACGGGGGCCCGCACAAGCGGUGGAGCAUGUGGUUUAAUUCGAUGAUACGCGAGGAACCUUACCUGGGCUUAAAUGCAUAUUGACAGAUUGGGAAACCAGUCCUUCUUCGGACAAUUUGCAAGGUGCUGCAUGGUUGUCGUCAGCUCGUGCUGUGAGGUGUCGGGUUAAGUCCCAUAACGAGCGCAACCCCUAUUCUUAGUUGCCAGCGGGUAAUGCCGGGGACUCUAGGAAAACUGCCCGUGCAAACGGAGAGGAAGGUGGGGAUGACGUCAAAUCAGCACGGCCCUUACGUCCAGGGCUACACACGUGUUACAAUGGCCGAUACAGAGGGCAGCUACCUGGUGACAGGAUGCAAAUCUCGAAAGUCGGUCUCAGUUCGGAUCGGAGUCUGCAACUCGACUCCGUGAAGGUGGAUUCGCUAGUAAUCGCGUAUCAGCAAUGACGCGGUGAAUACGUUCCCGGGCCUUGUACACACCGCCCGUCAAGCCAUGGAAGCUGGGGGUACCUGAAGUCUGUAACCGCAAGGAGCGGCCUAGGGUAAAACUGGUAACUGGGGCUAAGUCGUAACA
rnacentral:rRNA from 1 species